rnacentral:tRNA from 1 species
GGGGCGGUGGCGCAGUUGGCUAGCGCGUAGGUCUCAUAGCUAUUCUGAGUAAUAAUCCCGAGGUCGAGAGUUGGAGCCCCUCUCGCCCCA